rnacentral:rRNA from 1 species
GAUGAACGCUGGCGGCGUGCCUAAUACAUGCAAGUCGAGCGAACGGACGGGAAGCUUGCCUCUCUGAUGUUAGCGGCGGACGGGUGAGUAACACGUGGAUAACCUACCUAUAAGACUGGGAUAACUUCGGGAAACCGGAGCUAAUACCGGAUAAUAUUUUGAACCGCAUGGUUCAAAAGUGAAAGACGGUCUUGCUGUCACUUAUAGAUGGAUCCGCGCUGCAUUAGCUAGUUGGUAAGGUAACGGCUUACCAAGGCAACGAUGCAUAGCCGACCUGAGAGGGUGAUCGGCCACACUGGAACUGAGACACGGUCCAGACUCCUACGGGAGGCAGCAGUAGGGAAUCUUCCGCAAAGGGCGAAAGCCUGACGGAGCAACGCCGCGUGAGUGAUGAAGGUCUUCGGAUCGUAAAACUCUGUUAUUAGGGAAGAACAUAUGUGUAAGUAACUGUGCACAUCUUGACGGUACCUAAUCAGAAAGCCACGGCUAACUACGUG